UUCGCAAUGCCCGAAAGGGUGACGAAGCGACGCCGCGUGUGGGAAGAAGGCCUUCGGGUUGUAAACCACUGUUGGGAGUUAGGAAAUGUGGAGGUGUUAAUAGCGCCUUUACUUGACUAAAGCUCCAGAGGAAGCCACGGCUAACUCUGUGCCAGCAGCCGCGGUAAUACAGAGGCGGCAAGCGUUGUUCGGAAUUAUUGGGCGUAAAGAGCACGUAGGCGGCUCUGCAAGUCAGCUGUGAAAGCCUUCUGCUUAACGGAAGAACGGCAGUUGAAACUACAGGGCUUGAGUGCGGGAGGGGAGAGUGGAACUUCUGGUGGAGCGGUGAAAUGCGUAGAUAUCAGAAGGAACGCCGGCGGCGAAAGCGGCUCUCUGGUCCGCAACUGACGCUGAGUGUGCGAAAGCUAGGGGAGCAAACGGGAUUAGAUACCCCGGUAGUCCUAGCCGUAAACGAUGGGCACUAAGUAGAGGGGUUUU
rnacentral:rRNA from 1 species